ACUCCUGCGGGAGGCAGCAGUGGGGAAUAUUGGACAAUGGGCGCAAGCCUGAUCCAGCCAUGCCGCGUGAGUGAUGAAGGCCCUAGGGUUGUAAGACUCUUUCACCGGUGAAGAUAAUGACGGUAACCGGAGAAGAAGCCCCGGCUAACUUCGUGCCAGCAGCCGCGGUAAUACGAAGGGGGCUAGCGUUGUUCGGAUUUACUGGGCGUAAAGCGCACGUAGGCGGACUAUUAAGUCAGGGGUGAAAUCCCGGGGCUCAACCCCGGAACUGCCUUUGAUACUGGUAGUCUUGAGUUCGAGAGAGGUGAGUGGAAUUCCGAGUGUAGAGGUGAAAUUCGUAGAUAUUCGGAGGAACACCAGUGGCGAAGGCGGCUCACUGGCUCGAUACUGACGCUGAGGUGCGAAAGCGUGGGGAGCAAACAGGAUUAGAUACCCGAGUAGUCC
rnacentral:rRNA from 1 species